CUCAUCCCUAUCCUUAACCCUCCAGCACGACUCCUGGACCCUUGUAGAUGCUGUUAGAGCUCAGAGAAGGGCUUCUUCACCUCCUCCACUUUCUCUCUCUAGGGUUUCUCUCUCUUCGAUUGGAGAUCGCCGAAUCGAGCUUAUUUCGUGCCGCGUUCGUUGCUCGCUGGUUUGGAAACACAAGGGAGGUCUUUGGGUCAUGGGGAGAAGUAUUUUUACUGAGUUUCUGUGAGGUUCUCACCAAGGAAAGUUGAUUCUCAGCUUUGGAGAGCAGUAAAAAAAGAGUUAUUUUGGCUGUGAAUUAUCAGUGAAAAGUUGCUUUAAGGCUGGACUAAGCAGGUUCUUGAACCACUUUGAGCUGAGCCUGGGCUCUUAGAAGUUGGUUUGGAGGAUAUUUUAACCAAGGUGUUUGUACGCAGCGAGAGUGCUACCGACCUUGGGAUCACCUUCAGUUGGCAUUGGAGAGCAAUUAUAGGCUUAACUUGAGCAGGGCUGAGGCUUGAUUGAGCUGAAUUUCGGGACUCUUGUGGACUGAUUUGAGCCUAGUAAUAGAGCCAUCUACCGGAGAGGAUAGAGAUUGUUGCAAGGAAGUCGUGUUUAGCUAGACAUUGCUAGGAGCUUGCUAGUCGAUCACCUUGCUACUCGGGCUACGGCCGAGGGUGAUGUCCAGUGUAUAGAGAG